AACAAUUUUACUUCACUUCAGAUUUGCUUUAAAUGAUUUGGUUUUUGAGUUAAAAGCCAAAAACUGAAUUUUACCCCUAUGUUCUAUUUUUAGCCGUGGCGGCCAUCUUGGUUGGUUGACCAGGUCACGCCACACAUUUUUAAAACUAGAUAACCAAAUGAUGAUUGUGGCCAAGUUUGGUUUAAUUUGGCCACGGAGUUUCAGAGGAGAAGAUUUUUGUAAAAGAUUACUAAGAUUUACGAAAAAUUGUUAAAAAUUGACUAUAAAGGGCAAUAACUCCUAAAGGGGUCAACUGACCAUUUCAGUCAUGUUGACUUAUUUGUUAAUCUUACUUUGCUGAACAUUAUUGCUGUUUACAGUUUAUCUCUAUCUAUAAUAAUAUUCAAGAUAAUAACCAAAAACAGCAAAAUUUCCUUAAAAUUACCAAUUCAGGGGCAGCAACCCAACAACAGGUUGUUCAAUUCAUCUGAAAAUUUCAGGGCAGAUAGAUCUUGACCUGAUAAACAAUUUUACUUCAUGUCAGAUUUGCUCUAAAUGCUUUGGUUUUUGAGUUAUAAGCCAAAAACUGCAUUUUACCCCUAUGUUUUAUUUUUAGCUGUGGCGGCCAUCUUGGUUGGUUGGCCGGGUCACGCCACACAUUUUUUAAACAAGAUACCCCAAUGAUGAUUGUGGCCAAGUUUGGUUUAAUUUUGCCCAGUUGUUUCAGAGGAGAAGAUUUUUGUAAAAGAUUACUAAGAUUUACGGAAAAUGGUUAAAAAUUGACUAUAAAGGGCAAUUACUCCUAAAGGGGUCAACUGACCAUUUCGGUUAUAUUGACUUAUUUGUAAAUCUUACUUUGCUGAACAUUAUUGCUGUUUACAGUUUAUCUCUAUCUAUAAUAAUAUUCAAGAUAAUAACCAAAAACAGCAAAAUUUCCUUAAAAUUACCAAUUCAGGGGCAGCAACCCAAUAACGGGUUGUCCGAUUCAUCUGAAAAUUUCAGGGCAGAUAGAUCUUGACCUGAUGAACAAUUUUACCCCAUGUCAGAUUUGCUCUUAAUGCUUUGGUUUUUGAGUUAUAAGCUAAAAACUGCAUUUUACCCCUAUGUUCUAUUUUUAGCCGUGGCGGCCAUCUUGGUUGGUUGGUUGACCGGGUCACGCCACACAUUUUUAAAACUAGAUACCCCAAUGAUGAUUGUGGCCAAGUUUGGUUAAAUUUGGCCCAGUAGUUUCAGAGGAGAAGAUUUUUGUAAAAGUUUACGGACGACGGACGACGGACGCAAAGUGAUGAGAAAAGCUCACUUGACCUUUCAGGUCAGGUGAGCUAAAAAGAACUAAA